rfam:Algibacter lectus DNA, contig: contig00009, strain: JCM 19300.
AGCUACUCCUGAUUGAUGUGGCAUCCUUUUUUUUGAAUACCGAAUAGUUCUCCAAAAACUCCAAGUUUUAAUAAUUAAGAUUGAUGUUACCUAAUAGAGAAAUGCGUACAUUAAAAAAAAGAUAUAACUGAAAGCAGGAAGAAAC